ensembl:lncRNA
CCAGCUCUAUGGAGUGUACGGCUUAAAAGUGGUCCUAUGGAGAGAUACUCCAAUCUCCGCUGUGGAGCUUUGCAGCUCUUUCAGCGUUAUCUUUGGUCUCUUUGUUGCCUCUCUGAUUUAAUGCCCUUCUUGCCUGGUCUGGGAGUAUUGGUGGGCGGCCCUCUCUUGGCAGGUUUGUUGUGGUGCCAUAUUCUUUCCAUUUUUUUAAAUAAUUGAUUUAAUGGUGCUCUGUGGGUUGUUCAAAGUUUAUAUUUUUUUUAUUACCCAACCCUGAUCUGUACUUCUCCUUUGGAGAGCUCCUUUGUCUUCAUAGUUCUGCUUUCUUGGUGGUGCCCCUUGCUUAACGGUGGUGCCCCUUGCUUAGCGGUGUUGCGGACUCUGGAGCCUUUCAGAACAGGUGAUACUGAGAUCAUGUGACAGAUCAUGUGACACUUAGAAUGCACACAGGUGGACUUUAUUUAACUAAUUAUGUGACUUCUUAAGGUAAUUGGUUGCACCAGAUCUUAUUUAGGGGCUUCAUAGCAAAGGGGGUGAAUACAUAUGCACGCAACACUUUUCCAUUUUUUUUUUUUUUUUAAACAAUUUUUUUUCUUUCAUUUCACUUCACCAAUUUGGACUAUUUUGUCUAUGUCCAUUACAUGAAAUCCAAAUAAAAAUCUAUUUAAAUUACAGGUUGUAAUGCAACAAAAUAGGAAAAACGCCAAGUGGGGUGAAUACUUUGCAAUGCACUGUAGAACUCAAUGUGUAUCUACUGAUGGUGUUAAAUCAGUUUUCCUGGAUAUUGCGAAAGGUGUCCCGCUGGGGUCGAUUCUGGGUUUUACUUUUUACUGUUUACAUGAACAAUAUCAAAUUUCCUGUAGAAAAUUGUUUCCUGCACUUGUAUGCUGAUGAUACUGUUGGCUAUGCAAUUGCCCCCACGGUGGACCAGGCUCUACUGAACUACAGCCUGCCUUCAUUGUAUUACAGAAAAACUUUAUUGACCUGAAAUUAGUAUUGAAUGUUUUCUAGAGCGCAUAAAAUAACUCUGAUUUAUGCAUAUGCACUUUGGAUUGUGUCCAUAUUGAUCGUGGCCCUG